UUCUCGUGCUUUUCCGCAGAGGGGUAUGAACACACGAGCAGAUGAUUUUCCCGCAAGAAUAACUUCUUUGUUGUCCUCCAAAAGUUUGGUAACGCGUUCC
rnacentral:lncRNA from 1 species